rnacentral:pre_miRNA from 1 species
AAUGUACUCCCUCCGUCCGAAAAUACUUGUCAUCAAAAUGGAUAAAAAGGGAUGUAUCUAGAACUAAAAUAUGUCUAGAUACAUCUUUUUUUAUUCAUUUUGAUGACAAGUAUUUCCGGACGGAGGGAGUAUUAG